GGAAGGAACGGUAGUAAAAAAAAAAAGGAAUAAAAUAGGUAGAAGAAGAAAUAAAAGGAAGUAAAGAUUGCCCUAUCAUGUAAACAAAGUAAUCAGAUCAAUGAACUAAGAGAUAAAAACAUAAUUUUAAAAAUAUGCUAAACUAAGCAUGUUUGUAAAAUACAGGAGAGAGAGAGAGAGAGAGAGAGAGAGAGAGAGAGAGAGAGAGAGAGAGAGAGAGAGAGAGGAGAUGAAGAAGCACACAGGGUCUAACGGGAGAAAUAAAGAUUAAAUGCUGGGACAGAGUUUUCUGCAUCUCCUAAUACUGGAGGCUGACAGCCAAUGUACUGGGGAAGAGGGGUAUCACGUGACCUGCCUGACUCCCGCCUCUUCUAUGGUUUAGCCUGGUGUCCAGCGUAUUGGACAAGUAUCUGGUGACACCCUGAGUUGUCCUCUCGCAGAUAUCUUCCUGUAUUUGGGUAACAAGUUCCUCAUCUUUGCCGUCUGUGGGCAGGGCAGCUUCUGUCUUCCUCCCAGGGUUGUUCCGCACAGAGUGGGUGGCAUAGCUGGGCCCGUUCCCGUGCACACGCCUUGGGGAAUAUCGAGUAGAAAUCACAACACAACGCUCUGUUGCAGGCAGAGGAGCUAUAUUUGUACUGAGGAGAUGUGCUAACCUCCGCGCUGGAGGGAUGAGGCAGUGGAUGUCAAGGACUCAGCCAACACUUCUUCUAACAGCAGUGAGCCGCAGUGUUUUCUUAUUCCUGUUUGCACUGAACAGCCCGGCCUCCUGCAUUUUCCUACCAGGGAUUAUUGCCAGGCAGAGGAGAUCAUCAAAAGACAUGGCCAGUUUCCACCACAGAGCCAGGGCAAGCCAGAGACACCAGAAAGGAGGUGAAGCACAGGCCUGAACUAGGUCUGAUGGAAUGCUUACCUCAGAAGUAACCACCCAGGGUUCCUUUAUCCAACUGGUGCAGCUGGCUGAUUCAGUCUUCUCCCUCAAGAAACCGACCUACUGAAGAUAGCAGGGAAGCAUUGCAAGGAAAUUAUCAGGGUAGGGGAGGGAGACCGGUGGAGAAGGGGAAGGGAGGGGUGGGGGAGGGGUGAGGGCGGGGGAAGGAGAGAGGUUGGAGGAGGGGGAGGAGUAGGAGGAGGGAGAAGUAGUGGGGAGGCAGCAGGAUGGAGAGGUCUGGAGGAAGGGUGGUUGGUCCAGCCCCAGCAACUGAGCUGACCUGAGGAAACAGUUUGAAACCCUCAGAGCAGGUAGGGACAGGUAAAGAAAGCCUGUUCUGAGAAAACACUGGGCAAGAGUAACCCUGGGAGAAUCUGAUAAGGACUAGGAACCUUUGAGCUGCCGAAGAACAGAGAAAGCAUUUCCAAGGGCCCGGUGAGAUCUGUGAGCUCUCGAAUUCAGCUGUAUACCCAUAACCAGGUUUGAGAAAAGCUAUGGCCUUCCUGUGGGGACAGCGCACACAUGGAGAAAGGCAGCUGCCAGACAGACACGUGAAAAAAUGUUCAGACGCACACAUACUCCAAAGGAGAUGCUCAUGUGAACAAUGGGAUGCUUGUUUCAACUGAAAUUAACUGAGAGAAAAAGAGGAGCCUUGCACUGGCUCGGGGUGUGUUGAAAGAAGCCCUGUGUGGGGCUGGAAGGCACAGAAACAGCCGGUUAUGUGAAGCCUUGAGCAGACAGUGUGUGUCAGCAACUUUGCAUUUGCUCAUUCCCUUUGGCCCACGCGUUCCAAGCACCUCACCCAAAGAAAUAGCUAGUGAUGUAGAGAGCCGUGAAUGCUAACAUGGUGUUUACAGUGCUGUCCUUCGUAAUGCCGGAUAAGGUCAAUGUCUGACAGUAAUGACCAAAGGAAUUGCUCCUUCCUGCAGUUUAGUCACCUGCAGCCGCUACAACUUCAAUCUACAGAGUUUAUAAACCGGAAACACUGAUGUAGCCAUGUUUAGCAGCAUAAACAUUUGUAUCAAUUACAUGGAAAAAAAUGCAAAAAAAAAAAAAAAGCUUGAAGCUACUGUAUCAAUAUGUAACAGAGUUGUACAGUCUUGGGUUAUAGGCAUUUUUGCUUUUUUUUUUUUCAAAAAAAAUCUUUUUCUUAGUGUUCUUUUUAAGUUAUCCAAAUAAAUUUAAAAAUAUAUAAA